rnacentral:rRNA from 1 species
AACGAACGCUGGCGGCAGGCCUAACACAUGCAAGUCGAGCGAGGACUUCGGUCCUAGCGGCGGACGGGUGAGUAACGCGUGGGAACGUGCCCUUUGCUUCGGAAUAGCCCUGGGAAACUGGGAGUAAUACCGGAUGAGCCCUUUGGGGGAAAGAUUUAUCGGCGAAGGAUCGGCCCGCGUUGGAUUAGGUAGUUGGUGGGGUAAUGGCCUACCAAGCCGACGAUCCAUAGCUGGUUUGAGAGGAUGAUCAGCCACACUGGGACUGAGACACGGCCCAGACCCCUACGGGAGGCAGCAGUGGGGAAUCUUAGACGAUGGGGGAAACCCUGAUCUAGCCAUGCCGCGUGAGCGAUGAAGGCCUUAGGGUUGUAAAGCUCUUUGAGCUGGGAAGAUAAUGACGGUACCAGCAGAAGAAGCCCCGGCUAACUCCGUG